GACGAACGCUGGCGGCGUGCUUAACACAUGCAAGUCGAACGGAAAGGCUCCAGCUUGCUGGAGUACUCGAGUGGCGAACGGGUGAGUAACACGUGGGUAAUCUGCCCUGCACUCUGGGAUAAGCCUGGGAAACUGGGUCUAAUACUGGAUAUGACCUUUCUCCUUAUGGGGUUUGGUGGAAAGUUUUUCGGUGUAGGAUGAGCCCGCGGCCUAUCAGCUUGUUGGUGGGGUGAUGGCCUACCAAGGCGACGACGGGUAGCCGGCCUGAGAGGGUGAUCGGCCACAUUGGGACUGAGGUACGGCCCAGACUCCUACGGGAGGCAGGAGGGGGGAAUAUUGCACAAUGGGCGGAAGCCUGAUGCAGCGACGCCGCGUGAGGGAUGACGGCCUUCGGGUUGUAAACCUCUUUCAGCAGGGACGAAGCGUAAGUGACGGUACCUGCAGAAGAAGCACCGGCUAACUAUGUG
rnacentral:rRNA from 1 species